UACGUAGGUGGCGAGCGUUAUCCGGAAUUACUGGGCGUAAAGCGCACGCAGGCGGCCUAUCAAGUCUGACGUGAAAGCUCCUGGCUUAACUGGGAGAGGUCGUUGGAAACUGAGGGGCUUGAGGCAAUGAGAGGGGUGUGGAAUUCCCGGUGUAGUGGUGGAAUGCGUAGAUAUCGGGGGGAACACCAGUGGCGAAAGCGGCACCCUGGCAUUGGCCUGACGCUCAUGUGCGAAAGCGUGGGGAGCGAACGGG
rnacentral:rRNA from 1 species